rnacentral:rRNA from 1 species
GACGUAGGGCGCGAGCGUUGUCCGGAUUUAUUGGGCGUAAAGAGCUCGUAGGCGGCUUGUCGCGUCGACCGUGAAAACUUGGGGCUCAACCCCAAGCCUGCGGUCGAUACGGGCAGGCUCGAGUUCGGUAGGGGAGACUGGAAUUCCUGGUGUAGCGGUGAAAUGCGCAGAUAUUAGGAGGAACACCGAUGGCGAAGGCAGGUCUCUGGGCCGAUACUGACGCUGAGGAGCGAAAGCGUGGGGAGCGAACAGG